ensembl:lncRNA
GACGGUUUUUUAUUUUUUUUAUUUUUUUUGGUGGUCGUGAACUGUAGAGGCUAGUGUCUUUCCUGCUGUGACGUCAUUUAAGGAGAGCGCGAGCUCACCUGAGCUCUCACCUUUCCAGUGCACGCGCUGCUGUUAACGGUAGACAAAUCUGUGAAUCCCAGUUUAUCUCACUUGCGACGUGCGGGGAACAUUCACACAAUGGGUUUCAAUAAAUAAACCUGUGCUGAAGUUCAAGGGACGACUAAUGCAAAUCUCCUAAAACAAGAGGUGUUUCAGAUAGAUGUGAAAUUGCUCAUAGCAGCUGCUCCAUGGAGAUCACAAGUAAAUCCAUGAAUCUUACUUUCUCCAUUGAGGACAAAAAUGGAAAUAACAUCACCUGUCCCAGUGAGCAUUCCCCCGAUUCACUAAGGGGCUCUAGCAGUUUGAAUUGUGGCAGUUCAGAAAGUCCUCUUGAUGUAGAAAUGGAGGACUGUAUCACUUGCACAACAAAAAACGAGACUUCUUCCUCAAAGGUAGUGAAAUCAAGCAGUGCAAUUUUUGACAACUGGAAUGAGAAUAUGGCUCUCUUGAUAGUGGAAACAAAAAACACUGAAUGCAAUGGCAGUGACCGAAGCUCAGAAACCUCCCCUGACUGUGGAGAGCGAGAUCUGUCUGAGGUGGACUCCUGCGAGCCAUCACGCCGUGGAUCCAGUGAGAACUGCUGCUCUGUGAGCUCAGGUGAGAUGGUCAUGAGGAGUAGCAGCUUUGUCUUGCAUGAGAAUGACCAGCCACUUAGCAUCUCACUAAUCGGGGAGUCCAGAUCCUCCUUGGAUAUAUCUUCAGAUCUCGGCGUGGUAUCGGGGAUGUUACCUGAUGUGUGUGAAGGCUUAGCUGAGGUGCCACGAGGAGAUCCCAAGAAUCAGGGCCUGGAGUGUACUUACAUCCAAACCAACAAUCAGACCUUUCUCAUAGAUGAAAAGUCAUUGAGCAAUGAGAAACUUGAAUGUGUUACACCUGUUCAUUAUCACAAAUCCAAUGUGCAAAAGUUGUUAUGCAACAGCAGCGGAUCAAAUCAGUCAACGCCAGUGGAGGGAAAAACUGUUCUUAUUACUGCUUCUGAGGAUUUAGACAUUAGUGGCAAUGCUCAGACAUCAACUCCAGUGCAGUCUGUGAAUAACAAGACAUUUUGCCUCCCAUCUUUGUCUGAGUCACCUCUGAAUAAAGAUGAAGGUGAUUCAGUGAGUCCAAUGGCCCAAUUUAUUAGCCAGCAGCAAGGCGCUGCCUCUCAGAAGCCCAAAACACCAUUGAUGUCAGCAAGUAAAAGCAAAAAAAUAGAAAUAAAACGGUUUCCGAAGCCUAACUUCAGUAGUAUAAAGUCUAAAAUUAUAUCACGUGCCACCAACCCCUUUAAGACAUCAAGUGCAACAGUUCCAAAGACUUCAUCAAACUCCGUCCCUCAAACUAAUGAAAGCCAGACUAUAGACCAGCAUAAGUCAUCUCCUACAAAAUCCACUUCUGCUGCAGUAACCAGCACAUCUGCCACACCAGCUCGAAAUGUAAAGAGCUGUAAUGCAGCUAAAAGAACUCGCUCAUCUUGCCAAGAAAGUGGUCCAGCCUCGAAAUCUCGACCUCGCCGAUGGUCUGAAAGCGCAACCUCUUCCAAAACAAGUAAAGAUGGAACACAAGAGAAGAAUUCACAUGUCAAUGGAGUUUUGAACAACCUCGUCACACCACAAAAAAACACUAAAGGAGGUGCAAAGACCAAACCUGCAGAAACUAAGUGGAAUAGAGAGGACACGCAGGGGAAUGAGUCAAUGAAGGUUCGUGGGAAGAAUCAGAAAGUCAGUCUGUUGCCAGUGUCUGCCAGGCCAGCAGCAGCAGCAGCAUGUGAGAGGAGUAGAAUCAGGCUUGGCUCCCAGCCAUCCCCAGCCAGGACAGGAGGUGCCUGUGCUGCUCACGUUCCAGCUGCAAACUUACGACCACCGCUUUCAGCCUCUAAGCUUAAACCUGGUACAGCGGGAAAAGAUGGCAGCAGUACCAUUGACAUGCCUUCACCCAGGAGUAAACUGAGCACGUCUGAUGGUGCAAGUGCAGUUUCGGGAUCCCAGUCCAGAUCUGCUCUGUUUGCAGCUCCAGCAUCAGCCUCCAAACUGCCUGUGAAAUCCAAAUUACAGACCAAGAGCUCCAGCACUUCUCAGACAAAUGGACAUCCAAAGCAAGACCAUUCUGAGCCCUCUGUGGGAACCUUGAGUAAACCACCUCCUAACAGGACCACAUUGUUAAGGACCAAGCUGCAAUAUCCACCUACCAGGAGUGUAUCAUCAGGAGCAGGAUGCAAAAACACAUCUUCACCAGGUUCAGCGAGGUCUUCAAGCAGUCCUCUGAAAACCCCUACUACAGCCCGACCCAUGAGACCUGCUGUGACUCCAACAGGUAAGAUCCAGUUUAUUAAAUUUGAAGUGAAGCAUACAGUUAUCACAGACAAUUUUGUUGUUUAA